UGCCAAAGCAGUGGAAACGCUGGGACGGAAAGCUAAGAGGGACUAAGGCAGAAAUGCUAUGUCAGCCAGUUGC
rnacentral:ncRNA from 1 species